rnacentral:rRNA from 1 species
ACGAACUCGAGCGUCAUUGUCGAGAAAGAUCCUAGUUUUCCUGAGAAU